rfam:Lottia gigantea unplaced genomic scaffold LOTGIsca_33, whole genome shotgun sequence.
GUCUACGGCCAUACCACGUUGAAAACACCAGUUCUCGUCCGAUCACUGAAGUUAAGCAACGUCGUGCUCGGUUAGUACUUGGAUGGGUGACCGCCUGGGAACACCGAGUGCUGAAGACG